rnacentral:rRNA from 1 species
AAGCGGCAACAGCUCAAAUUUGAAAUCUGGCCCUCACACUCCGAGUUGUAAUUUGUAUAGGAUGCUUUUGGCGAGGUGCCUUCCGAGUUCCCUGGAACGGGACGCCAUAGAGGGUGAGAGCCCCGUCUGGUCGGACACCGAGCCUCUGUAAAGCUCCUUCGACGAGUCGAGUAGUUUGGGAAUGCUGCUCAAAAUGGGAGGUAUAUGUCUUCUAAAGCUAAAUAUUGGCCAGAGACCGAUAGCGCACAAGUAGAGUGAUCGAAAGAUGAAAAGCAAUUUGAAAAGAGGGUUAAAAAGUACGUGAAAUUGUUGAAAGGGAAGCGCCUAUGACCAGACUUGAGCCCGGUGAAUCAUCCAGCGUUCUCGCUGGUGCACUUUGCCGGGCCCAGGCCAGCAUCAGUUUGGCGCGGGGGAUAAAGGUGACGGGAAUGUGGCUCCUCGGGAGUGUUAUAGCCCGCUACGUAAUACCCUGCGCCAGACUGAGGUACGCACAUUGCAAGGAUGCUGGCCGUAAUGGUCAUCAGC